ensembl:snRNA U6 U6 spliceosomal RNA
GUACUUGCUUUGGUAGCACAUACACUAAAAAUGUAAUGAUAUAGAGGAGAUUAGCAAGUCCCUUGCACAAGUAUGAUGCCCAAAUUCAUGAAGCAUUCCAAUUUUAA